rnacentral:rRNA from 1 species
UACGGGGGGGGCAAGCGUUGUUCGGAAUUACUGGGCGUAAAGGGCUCGUAGGCGGCUCUCUCAGUCGGAUGUGAAAUCCCCAGGCUUAACCUGGGAAUGGCAUCCGAUACUGGAGGGCUUGAAUUCGGGAGAGGGAUGCAGAAUUCCAGGUGUAGCGGUGAAAUGCGUAGAUAUCUGGAGGAAUACCGGUGGCGAAGGCGGCAUCCUGGACCGAGAUUGACGCUGAGGAGCGAAAGCUAGGGGAGCAAACGGG